GCAGCUCCCAGGAGUUCCUGGUGCCCAAUGACCUCAUUGGCUGCAUCAUCGGCCGCCACGGCAGCAAGAUCAGCGAGAUCCGGCAGAUGUCGGGCGCCCACAUCAAGAUCGGCAACCAGACAGAGGGCUCCAGCGAGCGGCACGUCACCAUCACGGGCUCGCCUGUCAGCAUCACCCUGGCUCAGUGCCUCAUCACCGCCUGCUUAGAGACGGCCAAAUCUACCUCCCCGGCGCCGCCGGGCCCCGGCUCCAUGGACCUCGGCGUGGGCUUCUCCCCGGCGCCGGCCC